rnacentral:rRNA from 1 species
GAUGAACGCUGGCGGCGUGCCUAACACAUGCAAGUCGAGCGAACGGCCGAGAAGCUUGCUUUUCUGAUGUUAGCGGCGGUCGUGUGAGUAACACGUGGAUUACCUACCUAUAAGACUGGGAUAACUUCGGGAAUCCGGAUCUGAUAUCGGUUCUUAUUUUGAACCGCAUGGUUCAACAGUGAAAGACGGUCUUGCUGUCACUUAUAGUUGGAUCCGCGCUGCCUUAGCUAGUUGGUAAGGUAACGGCUUACCAAGGCAACGAUGCAUAGCCGACCCGAGGGGGAGGUCGGCCACCCGGGAAGUGAGGGACGGUCCCGACUCCGAGGGGGAGCAGCAGUAGGGAAUCUUCCGGAAUGGGGGAAAGCCGGACGGAGCAAAGCGGGGGGAGGGAUGAAGGAGCGCGGAUCGGAAAACUCAGUUAUUAGGGAAGAAGAAAUGUGUAAGUAACAGGGCACAUCUUGACGGUACCUAACCAGAAAGCCACGGCUAACUACGUG